rnacentral:rRNA from 1 species
UACGUAGGGUGCAAGCGUUGUCCGGAAUUAUUGGGCGUAAAGAGCUCGUAGGCGGUUUGUCGCGUCUGCUGUGAAAACCCGAGGCUCAACCUCGGGCCUGCAGUGGGUACGGGCAGACUAGAGUGCGGUAGGGGAGAUUGGAAUUCCGUGGUGUAGCGGUGGAAUGCGCAGAUAUCAGGAGGAACACCGAUGGCGAAGGCGGCUACCUGGCCCAAUACUGACAGCUCAGGUGCGACAGCGUGGGGAGCAAACAGG